rnacentral:rRNA from 1 species
UACGAAGGGGGCUAGCGUUGCUCGGAAUUACUGGGCGUAAAGCGCACGUAGGCGGCUUUUCAAGCGUGCGGUGAAAGCUCGGGGCUUAACUCCGAGUCUGCCGUGCGAACUGGGAGGCUUGAGUCUGGUAGAGGUCGAUGGAAUUCCGGGUGUAGCGGUGGAAUGCGUAGAGAUCCGGAAGAACACCGGUGGCGAAGGCGGUCGACUGGGCCAGUACUGACGCUGAGGCGCGACAGCGUGGGGAGCAAACAGG